UUGAACAUCAGAGGGAGCUACUACGCUGAGCCAGCUACAGUAUGGUCCUUGGGGAUUUUGUUGUUCCGGCAGGUGAUGGGGCGCUACCCAAACAAAACAGACCACGCGAAGUUUGCCAAAGAUAGGUGGUCCUCACAUUUGUCUGCAGAAUUCCGCCAUCUGAUUGGCUGGUGCCUACAGCAGAAUCCAGACAACCGGCCUAAGCUGAAGGAAAUCCUCCUACAUGCUUGGUUUCAGGAAUCACCUGAAGAUCAAAGUCAUGGCCCAGCUGCAAGACAAACAAAUAUUCCUGUGCCAAAAAUGGCGCAGUUACUGCGCGUUCACACCGCCAGCGACAAAAUGUCAAUCACAUUUACACACUGCCUCCGAUAUUUACGUCCGUCAUAAAAAAAAAGCAUUUUGAGAGGCGUUUUGACAAUCCAGAGAAACCGUACAAACAAGCGCCAAAUACGAAAAAACGCAUAUGAAAUUUUCGGACUGUAUGUGCAAAGACCUUUACUGCAGAGUUUGUUUACAAAUGUUACUAGAGCAACCAAAGCUAGGAAUGCAUUCUAACGACCUCGUUGCAUGAGACUAGCGACAGAGUUGCUGGCGGUGUGAACGCACAAUUAGACUUUCCGUUUCAUCAAUGCAAGUGUUUGAGACCGGAAACGCAAGUCUAGACUAGUUUUCACGGAACAAAUAUAAUUCUACUAGUUUUAACAGAACAAAUAUAAUUCUACUAGUUUUAACAGAACAAAUAUAAUUCUACUAGUUUUAACAGAAUAAAUAUCUCAUUUUUUUUAAGACAACAAGGAAAAGGUGCUUUCGUUUGAAAAAACUUGCAAUUAAUGUGAAAUUUGGUAAGCCUCACUAGACGCUCUCUUAAGAGUCUACUUAAUAAAUCCGACACUAAAUAAAAAGUCUCGCUCUGUUAGGAAAACUGAGUAACUCUUGUCCAUUACUCACAGAGAGAUUCAACUCUUUUGUGAGUUAAGGCAGGUGCAGAAGACAAAGUUAUGAUAGAAUAAAAUAAACAGUAUUAAAUAACCGUAGCUGUGUUUCAAUGUUCAUUCUGACUUCAUCUGACUAGAAACAGACUUACUGGCAAAUUUGAGUGUUGCUUCACAACACUGCCCUGUUAAACCUUGAGAUUGAGAUAUCUGUACUUGUGAAGGUAUAAUACAUACUCAAAAUAAGAAUAACAAGAGAGUAAAGGGAAAUAUACAAAAGUUUCAGACUGUCAGUAAACACUGUUUGAUUGCUGUAUUUUAGAUACAUAAACAUUUUUUACCAUGUUUACCAUAUUGCUAUGAGUUAUACUGUGCUCUACAGCAUAGAAAUCAUAAUAGUUAUAAAUGCUAAUAAUAACAGUGUCUUGUUUUCCAGACACAAGACCAUACUGUCCGCUCAAGUAUUUUAACAGAUGUGAAAGCAACGAUGAGCCAACUACAAUGUGGUCCUUGGGGAUUUUGUUGUUGUGGAUGGUGCAGUGGCGCUUCCCAAACAAAACAGAGUUUCAAUAAUCACAAGUGGUUCAGCAAAAACCUGUUGAAAGGAUAGAAAGUAGCCCAAAAUGACAGAUGCCAACAUGACCAACUACACAAGAGCCCUGAAUGUGGGCAGCAAGAAAGUGCUGGUGGCAUCUCCUUAGAUGGUUGAAGACCAAACACCACAACAUUCAUUGGUCUAGGAAGGCCAGAAGACCUCUUGACCAGGAGCUGAUGAUGGAUUUGGAUCAGACAUCUGUAAGGCUCCACGAGCUGACGGAAGGACGAUGCCACACUGGGAACUGAAGGAGACUGGUGAUGGUUUAUUGCAGGGAGGAACAGGUAGGGUUGCCAACCAUCCUGUAUUAUCCGGGACGUCCCGUAUAUUGAGCCUGCCUGAUUUGUCCCGUACGUGACUUCCCAUGUCCUGUUUAUUGACUGGUCCGUGGAUUGAAGCAACAGCAGCAGCAGCGGUGGUGAUGAAGACACUUGCGAAUGAUAUUACUGACACCUGUCAUCUAAUCACAGCCCCUCUGACACGCAUCAGUUACGUUAAAGUAGGACAAAUUGCGGCAUUGUUUCUGAAUCUGCAAAGCAUGCAUCAGUCACUCACAUUCACAAAUACGAAGCAAUGACGUCUUGCCUAUGCUAAUUAGCACUGCUGCAGAGAUCAGAUUUUGUCCCGUAUUUCAUAGUAACAAAGUUGGCAACCCUAGGAACAGGUGAACAGAAGACAGGUAAACAAAUCCGAAACAACAGGUAACAUCCACAGGUAACUUAAUAGCGAGCCGUCGCUAGAACAAAACAUAAUACAACUAUUAUACAUUUAGGCCUGACCGUGAACAGAACAAAACACAAGGAAUAUAAAGGGUCCAGGGAAUGAAGAUCCGGUGUGGGUGCCAUCAUGAGUAUCGGGUGCGGGUGUAAUCAAAGAUGGUUACGAACUGGUGCAAAGGAUUAUGGGGAGUGUAGUCCGUGACUGUUAAAGAUGCGGUGAAUAAGAGUCCAUGGAGUGAAAACACGGGGAAAGCUGGCAGGGGAACACAAGGGGUCAGACAGGACCGUUACAACAUCAAAUACUGCUUGGAAAACAAGUUCAUAUUCAAUUAUAAAGAGUACAUAACUAGGGAUUUUUAAGGUCCUACUUUGGUUUAUGGAGUGUCCAACAACA